CUCUCCCUACAGAGUGGAGAAUCAGUGGGAGGGGCUAUGAAGGAGGCUGGGGCAUCAACAGAAGCUCGGGCAAGAGAUGCUCAUUCCUCAGUGAUUAGCAGAGAUGGAGAGAAAUGGACAGGACUGAGAUACUGCAAAAACAAACGUCCAUUAACAGGCAAAGGGAUUAAAAAGACCAAAUAAAUAAUCUGGAUAAACAUUAGGAACUUUUGCUUCCAGAAAGAUGGAGAUGUGCUUUUCCUUAUUCUUCCUGCUAAGUAAAAUUUAAAAACUAUGGAUCUUAUAUAUAAAACAAACUCUGAGAAUUUUCAGAGUAAGACUCUGAAAGGUAGAAAGAAGAAAGACCACUAGGGAUCUUUCUAAAAUGCAUAGUCAAACAACUGAAAACUAAAGACAAAAAAAUCUUAAAAGCAGAAAGAAAGAAAUGACACUUUAUCUAUAGGGGAAAUAAUGAUUCUAGUCAUAGCAAAUUACUCAUCAGAAAUCAUGGCAAUCAAGGAAGUAGCCCAACAUCCUUCUGCCAACCCAGAAUUCUGUAUCCAGUU
rnacentral:lncRNA from 1 species